UCAUGCUUCCAGUUUCUUGAU
rnacentral:piRNA from 1 species